rnacentral:rRNA from 1 species
GAUGAACGCUAGCUACAGGCUUAACACAUGCAAGUCGAGGGGUAGCAGGGCCUAGCAAUAGGUUGCUGACGACCGGCGCACGGGUGAGUAACACGUAUCCAACCUGCCCUAUACUCGGGGAUAGCCUUUCGAAAGAAAGAUUAAUACCCGAUAGUAUAAUUAGAUCGCCUGAUUUGAUUAUUAAAGAAUUUCGGUAUAGGAUGGGGAUGCGUUCCAUUAGAUUGUUGGUGGGGUAACGGCCUACCAAGUCUUCGAUGGAUAGGGGUUCUGAGAGGAAGGUCCCCCACACUGGGACUGAGACACGGCCCAGACUCCUACGGGAGGCAGCAGUGAGGAAUAUUGGGCAAUGGGGGAAACCCUGACCCAGCAACGCCGCGUGAGGGAAGACGGUUUUCGGAUUGUAAACCUCUGUCCUCUGUGAAGAUAAUGACGGUAGCAGAGGAGGAAGCUCCGGCUAACUACGUGCCAGCAGCCGCGGUAAGAC